rnacentral:rRNA from 1 species
AUGCAGAUGAUGCCGUACCUCACACUUGAAAUUUCGGUUGGAUUAACAGCAGCCGCCCUCCUUUUUCUUCUUCUUCUUCAAAAACAAAAGAAAACAGCCAAGCUCCAGUUUCACCAGCGUAUGUUCCUGGAGCAGCAAUGCAGCAACAGCAGCGCCCCUCACCCACCAAUUUUGCAUACCGUUUGUAGCAUCAUCAUCAACGCUGCAUUUUUUUUUUCUGUAAACGCCGAGACCCGUCGUGGCGCACGGCGGUGGUCCGACCGCCGUCGACGCGACGGUCGAUCAUGGCGUGGUGGUGGAACAGGCCGAUGGACCAGAUGA